ensembl:lncRNA
GGGGGGUCACCCUGUGGAAAAUGCGUUAUGUUUUUUUCCCUGCACAUAUAUCCACGGUGUUUUUCCGCUCCUAAACAACACACAUAUCAGUUGGUAUACUUGAAUCACGCAGGACAAUUCUAUAAUGUGAAGGACAGCAAAAAUGCCUUAUUAUGCUUCAAAACUGAAACCUAAAAAACUAAACAAAAAGCUUGUGUCUAUUUCAUUCAUGGUCCCUGUUAUUGGAAUUCCAAUCAUUUCUGUGUUUUAUUUCGUUGUUUUAUUGUCAUGUUGUUGUUUUUCUUCCACUUUGCACUGAAACGUUAUUUUUCUCUGUGUUUAAUCUGCAAUACAGAGGGAGCUGCCAGUUCCAAUGUAGCUGUUUACUCAAGGACGUUCUUACUGUGUGUGUGUGUGUGUGUGUGUGUGUGUGUGUGUGCUCUCCUCUCUGCCUUGGCACAAAUACCUUCCGGUGGUAUUGUGGAGAAGCAGUUUAACGAUAUAGAGAUGCUGAUUUAUGGCUCGUUUUUGAUGUUUAAAGACAGAAGUAUUUGCACCAACGUUGUGUUUUAAAAGUAGAGAACGUGAGUCUCUGCAGUGUAAAGGAUCUCAGCUGUGACUGGAGCCCCGCCCUGCCAGACUGGGGGACGGGGACGGCACUAUGACAACAGGGGCAGAACAUGUUGUUUAGAGACCAGCCUAUUGUUGUGAUGGAUGCAGCCUCCGGUUGUUGUGGCGACGGCCUCCGGUUGUUAUGGCGACGGCCUCCGGUUGUUAUGGCGACGGCCUCUUUUUGUUAUGGCGACGGCCUCCGGUUGUUGUGGCGACGGCCUCCGGUUGUUAUGGCGACGGCCUCUUUUUGUUAUGGCGACGGCCUCUGGUUGUUGUGGCGCCGGCUUCCGGUUGUUGUGGCGACGGCUUCCGGUUGUUAUGGAGACGGCCUCUUGUUUACAGGCCCUUAGGAGGGCGACAGGUGGAUGGUCAUCUUCCUUCAUUUUAAAAACAAUUUUAAAAAAUAAAAUAAAAUAAAAAAAAUACCAAAAAAACUAUUAAAAUUAAAUAAAAUCGCUAGAAAAAAAAUAUAAAAAUGAAAAAAAUCUAUACCACAACUCUAUAGAGGACGAAGACGAUGCUGAAACUCUGGGAACCAUGUUCUGAUCUGAGUGGGGUCGGUCAGUGUCCUGACUGUAGAUCUGGUGUAGUGUCGGUCAGUGUCCUGACUGUAGAUCUGGUGUAGGUCGGUCAGUGUCCUGACUGUAGAUCUGGUGUGGGGUCGGUCAGUGUCCUGACUAGAUCUGGUGUGGGGUCGGUCAGUGUCCUGACUAGAUCUGGUGUGGGGUCGGUCAGUGUCCUGACUGUAGAUCUGGUGUGGGGUCGGUCAGUGUCCUGACUAGAUCUGGUGUGGGGUCGGUCAGUGUCCUGACUAGAUCUGGUGUGGGGUCGGUCAGUGUCCUGACUGUAGAUCUGGUGUGGGGUCGGUCAGUGUCCUGACUGGUGUAGAUCGGUCAGUACGGUCAGUGUCCGGACUGUAGAUCUGGUGUGGGGUCGGUCAGUGUCCUGACCCGUGGUUCUGGUGUGGUUCUGGUUAGACCUGAAAUGGAGCCAGUGUCUCCCCAGAUUCUCUCCUUGUCGGAUGCAUCCAUCUUCUAGCACUGAAACGACUUCUGGUUGUGUGAGUUAGUUUGUACCUGCUUGGAAGAGCUCAGCGGUUUCACCCCCCCCCAAAAAUGCUGUCUUACGAAAAGGUAGAGAAAUCGGCGUGCUUCCUCCUCCUCCUCGCCACUGUCCUCCCAGUGUGUGUGUGUGUGUGUGUGUGUGUGUGUGUGUGUGUGUGUGUGACGUCAGUGGGACUGAACCAUAAAGCUGAUCCCUGUAUCUAUGCAUAUUGUAGCCAAUCACAAGGACUACAGACACGGGGAGGAGGGGCUUAAUUCUGUCUGUGUCACAACGUCAAAAUGUUUUAAAAUUAAUAAUGUGAUGAUGAUCUCUCUUUAUAUAUAUAUAUGACCUUGUUUCAAUCUCUCUCAUUGCCACAGAUGGUGGUCAAGAGAGAGGAAAAAAAUCUGUAAACAAAAAACAACAACAACAAUAAUAAUAAUCGUGUUUUUUUUGUGUUUCGGCUUCUUCUUCGUACCUCCCUAGAUGGCGCUCUGUCUGUGGUCGCUGCAGGGGAGGGGACGAGGGGGG